rnacentral:lncRNA from 1 species
GAGGACCCGUGCUUGGAUACGGGACACAGACAGGCUUCACAUGAAGACCAGAGACCCAUGAAGAGAGAGAACCCAUGAUGUUGAGAAGGAGCAGGAGGCACUUGGACAGUGGACAGCAGUCGCUUCAGGAGUUCAGGGGGUCUUCCUAGAGAGAGCUUUUGUGAGGGAUAACUUUCUAUGAGGGAGAAAUUGGGUGUACGAGAG